rfam:Sphingobium chungbukense strain DJ77 contig00006, whole genome shotgun sequence.
UGGCCGGGGACCGCGAUUCCCCUUCAGGCCUCACGCCCAAAUUCGCGUCCAUUUCUGUGAAGGACGCCGCAUG